AAACAAUGUGAAAAAUCACAAUGAAUAAAGCAUAAAACCUUGCUAGCUUUCUUGAGAAACAUCCGCAGGAUUCAUUCAAGAGCACUUGACCAUUAUGCAAUUCAUCUAGUAAUAGAAAUUUCAAACAGAUAGACCAGGCGGAUUGUAUGUGAUUGAGGGAGAUGGCACAAAAGGAUUCGUAUAGCAGAACUCAACUACUUUGGAAUUAAGGCUUGGUUGUUGUUGUUGUAGAAUAGGCACUUAGGCAGAGGUUCUAAUGCAUAUUAUCAAGAAACCAUCUCGACCCAAUAGCUUAAGCUAUUAUGUAAGAUCCCGGGAUAUGAUUUAUAUUAUUCUCUAACACCCCCCUAAAAUGAAAGCCCUUUGGACUUAAAACUUGUAUAGGCCUAUAUUACCUUGUGCUUAAUUUUUUUAUCAAAUAAAUGGAAAUGGUGAGAUUCGAACUCAUGACCGCUUGAUCAUCAAGGCUCUGAUACUAUGUCAAGAACCCAUCUUAACCCAAUAACUUAAGCUAUUAGGUGAGGUCCCAGGAUAUGAUUUAUAUUAUUCUAUAAAACAUAUCUCUAGUCCUUCAUUUAAUUUUUGAAGAACCAAGGCAGAAGAAAGGAAAAUCUGAGAUCUUCCUAACAGCCAAUUCAAUGCCAUCCAGCAAUAAAAUUCCAAGUUCUAGACUUCUAAUAUUAUCCUGACUACCACCCAUCUUCUGCUUCUCAUCCCUUUCAUGUUGCCAUCUCACUCCCUUCCCUCUUGCCUCUGGCAGUCGAGGCAAUCAGCAUGACAUUCAGCCAAGUUAGUAACACCAGAGUGUAAAAUUUUAAGUAUUGCUACUUCACUGAAUCUAUGAUCAUCCUGACAUGAACAUGCUAAAAAGCCCCACGUCCAGCUGAUAGACAACCAUAAAAGCUACAUACUAGUUGCCAAGGCAUAAAUCAAUCAACCUUUUCCA
rnacentral:lncRNA from 1 species